CCUACGGGUGGCCGCCGUAGGGACUCUUCCACACUGUGCUACCGCCUUCUUGAGCACCGCCUCGUGGUUGAAGAAGGUCUUCGGAUCGUAAAACCCUGUUGUUAGAGAAGAAAGUGCGUGAGAGUAACUGUUCACGUUUCGACGGUAUCUAACCAGAAAGCCACGGCUAACUACGUGCCAGCAGCCGCGGUAAUACGUAGGUGGCAAGCGUUAUCCGGAUUUAUUGGGCGUAAAGGGAACGCAGGCGGUCUUUUAAGUCUGAUGUGAAAGCCUUCGGCUUAACCGGAGUAGUGCAUUGGAAACUGGGAGACGUGAGUGCAGAAGAGGAGAGUGGAACUCCAUGUGUAGCGGUGAAAUGCGUAGAUAUAUGGAAGAACACCAGUGGCGAAAGCGGCUCUCUGGUCUGUAACUGACGCUGAGGUUCGAAAGCGUGGGUAGCAAACAGGAUUAGAUACCCUUGUAGUC
rnacentral:rRNA from 1 species